AGUGAACGCUGGCGGUAGGCCUAACACAUGCAAGUCGAACGGCAGCACAGUAAGAGCUUGCUCUUACGGGUGGCGAGUGGCGGACGGGUGAGGAAUACAUCGGAAUCUACUUUUUCGUGGGGGAUAACGUAGGGAAACUUACGCUAAUACCGCAUACGACCUACGGGUGAAAGCAGGGGAUCUUCGGACCUUGCGCGAUUGAAUGAGCCGAUGUCGGAUUAGCUAGUUGGCGGGGUAAAGGCCCACCAAGGCGACGAUCCGUAGCUGGUCUGAGAGGAUGAUCAGCCACACUGGAACUGAGACACGGUCCAGACUCCUACGGGAGGCAGCAGUGGGGAAUAUUGGACAAAGGGCGCAAGCCUGAUCCAGCCAUACCGCGUGGGUGAAGAAGGCCUUCGGGUUGUAAAGCCCUUUUGUUGGGAAAGAACAGCAGCAGGUUAAUACCCCGCUGUUCUGACGGUACCCAAAGAAUAAGCACCGGCUAACUUCGUG
rnacentral:rRNA from 1 species